rnacentral:rRNA from 1 species
GGAUUAGAUACCCUGGUAGUCCACGCAGUAAACGAUGAGUGCUAGUCAUUGGAAUCUUUGAUUUCGGUGGUGAAGCUAACGCAUUAAGCACUCCGCCUGGGGAGUACGGCCGCAAGGCUAAAACUCAAAGGAAUUGACGGGGACCCGCACAAGCGGUGGAGCAUGUGGUUUAAUUCGAUGCUACGCGAAAAACCUUACCAGCACUUGACAUACGGAUCGCGAGAUUUAGAGAUAAAUCUUUUCAGUUCGGCUGGAUCCUGUACAGGUGUUGCAUGGCUGUCGUCAGCUCGUGUCG